AGAAUCAACGCUGGCGGCGUGCCUAACACAUGCAAGUCGAACGAGAAAGUGGAGCAAUCCAUGAGUACAGUGGCGUACGGGUGAGUAACACGUGACUAACCUACCCUCGAGUGGGGAAUAACCUCGGGAAACCGGGGCUAAUACCGCAUAAUAUCUUCGGAUCAAAUGCGUAAGCAGCUUGAGGAGGGGGUCGCGGCCGAUUAGCUAGUUGGCGGGGUAAUGGCCCACCAAGGCAAUGAUCGGUAGCCGGCCUGAGAGGGCGCGACGGCCACACUGGAACUGAAACACGGUCCAGACUCCUACGGGAGGCAGCAGUGGGGAAUUUUGCGCAAUGGGGGGAAACCCUGACGCAGCAACGCCGCGUGGAGGAUGAAGCCCUUUGGGGUGUAAACUCCUUUCGAUCGGGACGAUUAUGACGGUACCGGAUGAAGAAGCACCGGCUAACUCUGUGCCAGCAGCCGC
rnacentral:rRNA from 1 species